GAUGUACUCCCUGCGUCCCAAAAUUCUUGUUAGAUUUGUCUAGAAAUGAAUGUAUCAAAAUACUAAAACGUGAUUAGAUACAUUUAUAUGUAGACAAAUCUAAGACAAGAAUUUUGAAACGGAGGGAGUAGUUC
rfam:Hordeum vulgare subsp. vulgare, WGS project CAJW01000000 data, contig: morex_contig_216266